ACCAUUGAUUCAGUACCCGCAUUAAUGGGUAUAGAUUAUGGUUAUUUAAUACAUAAAAAUUGGGACGGAUUUUCAUUUUUUUUUAGGAGAGGUGAGAAACGGAUAGUAUGGGUAAUAUGUUGUCAUUAUCAUUAGGUAGUAAAAGAAUAGGAGUCGGGCACCAGUUAAAGGUCAUUCUGUGGUGUUGUUAUGGAUUAUUUUUUUUUCUGAGAUUGCCAUUUCUUGUGUUUCUUGUGUAUUUGAGAGUAGUAGUUCCAGUUAAGA
rnacentral:lncRNA from 1 species